rnacentral:rRNA from 1 species
CCCUGCCAUUUGUACACACCGCCCGUCGUUGUUUCCGAUGAUGGUGCAAUACAGGUGAUCGGACUGGCGUGCAUUCUUGCGUGCCGGAAAGUUCACCGAUAUUUCUUCAAUAGAGGAAGCAAAAGUCGUAACAA